rnacentral:rRNA from 1 species
CGCAACCCACAUCUUUAGUUGCCAUCAGGUUAUGCUGGGCACUCUAGAGAAACUGCCCGUUAUAAGCGGGAGGAAGGUGUGGAUGACGUCAAGUCCUCAUGGCCCUUACGGGUUGGGCUACACACGUGCUACAAUGGCAGUAACAAUGGGUUAAUCCCAAAAAACUGUCUCAGUUCGGAUUGGGGUCUGCAACUAGACCCCAUGAAGUCGGAAUCGCUAGUAAUCGCGUAACAGCAUGACGCGGUGAAUACGUUCCCGGGUCUUGUACACACCGAAU